rnacentral:lncRNA from 1 species
AAGGUGACGAUAUCUUACCACAGAAUCUUGAAUUACAAGUUCAUGAAAACGUCUAACUUUCUUUUACAGUAAAGUCCUUGGAAGCAGCUCUUUUGGUGGAUACAAGGCGAUCAUUAAAAUUCGAUAGAAUGAUCGCUUUCGUCAGGUUGAUUUUCUGUCUACUAGUGGCAUUUCCCCUCCAACAGGUAACCCUUGCCGGGCAAACUCAAGUUUCAGGACUUGCUGGAAAAACUGAAAACUCAAGGGAUGGCAGCACGCAGAAGAUUGAACCACUAGCCACUGCUUCUAAAAGGAUCUCUACUUUCAAUGGUGAGGAAAAUCUUCCAAACUACGGCGGUGUUUUUUCUGCGAACGAGAAGGCAAAUAUCUCUCCAGAAGAAGCGUUAAGUCCUAAGAAAUUUCUGAAAUAUUUCAACAGAAACUUCCAUCAAAUGCCCAAAGUUGCUGCAUUACCCACCUUAGAACCAAUAACAGUCACAACUUCUACAGCACCUACAACUCCUACAACUCCUGAGGGUCCUACACGACCGACAAUUCCCACGCUGCCACCAAUCUCUUCACUCCGUAAACGAUCCGUAGGUGCUGCAUUACCCACCUUAGAACCAAUAACAGUCACAACUUCUACAGCACCUACAACUCCUACAACUCCUGAGGGUCCUACACGACCGACAAUUCCCACGCUGCCACCAAUCUCUUCACUCCGUAAACGAUCCGUAGGUGCUGCAUUACCCACCUUAGAACCAAUAACAGUCACAACUCCUACAGCACCUACAACUCCUACAACUCCUGAGGGUCCUACACAACCGACGACUCCCACGUUGUCACCAAUUUCCUCACUCCGUGAAUAAUCCAUGGCUGCUGCACUGCUGCAGUAUCCACGUCCCUACAGGGCCCUGACUAUCGAUAUUCCCACGUCACGCACAGAUCCUAGAAUUCCUGCGUACCUAAUAUAGACGUUUCUGAGUUUUUGUACUGUAAAAAAAAACUAUGUCAAAUGAGUUAUACUUGCAAAUAAAGUAAUAUCAGUCACCAUUGAAAAAUAUGCGUUGAAAAUAUACCCGUCCUUUGAUGUAUAACAACUGUAUC